UACGACGCAUCGGUACUGUGAGUUAGGCCUGUCUGCGUGUGGAUGACAUUCGCAUAUGAUCAUCCGAAAGGCUCCCUAUGGACACCGUAGCCGGCCAGCAAGUGGAAGUCAUACAUUGGACUUGGACUCGGCUCUGAUUCGCUACGAGCAGCAGUUGGGCAAUAUGCCCACUCGGCAGCAGCUGAUGCACGGAGCAGCAGUAGGGAUCAUGUCUUUAGAGCUUUAACCUCUUUCCAGUAGGAAGAGCGAAAUUGACUGUACCUGCGGAUGAAGCGCUGCCUACUUACGGGCCAGCAGCCGCGGUAAUUACGUAGGGCGCAAGCGUUAUCCUGAAUUAUUGGGCGUAAAAGAGCUCGUAGGCGGUUUGUCGCGUCUGCCGUGAAAGUCCCGGGGCUUAACUCCGGAUCUGCGGUGGGUACGGGCAGACUUGAGUGAUUGUAGGGGAGACUGGAAUUCGUGGUGUAGCGGUGAAAUGCGCAGAUAUCAGGAGGAACACCGAUGGCGAAGGCAGGUCUCUGGGCAUUAACUGACGCUGAGGAGCGAAAGCAUGGGGAGCGAACAGGAUUAGAUACCCUGGUAGUCCAUGCCGUAAACGUUGGGCACUAGGUGUGGGGGACAUUCCACGUUUUCCGCGCCGUAGCUAACGCAUUAAGUGCCCCGCCUGGGGAGUACGGCCGCAAGGCUAAAACUCAAAGGAAUUGACGGGGGCCCGCACAAGCGGCGGAGCAUGCGGAUUAAUUCGAUGCAACGCGAAGAACCUUACCAAGGCUUGACAUGAACCGGAACGGCGCA
rnacentral:rRNA from 2 species